ensembl:lncRNA
CAGUGACUCAGCUAGCAUUGCUAAGCUAGCCGACAAAGCAUUCUGGACUCUAUUCAAUAAAUGACUGGACAGGCCUGGAUGAAGAUGAGGACGCUCAUGUUUGGGAAGAUAACUGGGAUGAUGACAACGUAGAGGAUGACUUUUCUAAUCAGCUGAGAGCGGAGCUAGAAAAACACGGAUACAAGAUGGAAACCUCCUAACAUUGGACUACUUGAGCUGAAAUUGAUUUUUCCACAUUUGAAUAUUGUCAGAUUGUUCUGUCAACAGAAAAUGUGACCUCUUUUAUUACUUUUGUAAGAAGCCCAGCGUUGUAAAACGGGUCAGUUGAAACUGAUAUCAAUGUUUUUUCCCCUUCCCUUAUAUACAAUUUAUGUUAAUCAUUGUAAUAAUAAAGAAUUGUUUUGCCAAUUCUGAUUGUUUUUUUCUAUUAUUAUUAUUAUUUAUAUACAUGUAUUUAGAGGCAGAGUAUUGUAUUGCACACAUGAAUUUGUAAUUGUCUUUCUAAUCAUAAAUGUAAAGUCUGGUAAAUAUUGUUAAUCAGUGAGCAGAUUUUCACGUAACCUUCAGAGAUGCAGCUGCAUGCAUCCAUGGAGAAACUGCUUGGCCUGUGCCCUGACGCUUCCCCCGAGCUCAUGGGGCUUGGCAGAGUCUCUGCUGGGAGAGAUUAUCCAGUGAAGUGUUUGUCAGAGGCACGGAGGUGGUCACAGCGUGAAGCCCCAGCCAGUCCUGCCUGGGCCUGCCCUCUCCCAACCAGGCCCUGCUCUUUUGCUCUCCACAGCGAGGGCUCCCACACGGAACCAGAAGCC